GGUAUUAUAAAUUCAGACUGAUAUAUUAUUAUUACCAAGAGCACGAGUUAUAUGCACUAAAUUUAUAUAAUACACAGGUAUACAAUAAAGGACAAAAAAAAUCCUUGCAGGUAUCAGCUCAUAAAUAAAUUUAUGUCUGAGAGCAGUGAGAUGGUCUUUUUUUUAUGUAGUUUUGUCUGGUGUCUGUUUUACAUGAUUUUAUGUGAACCAAAGUAAAUAAACGAGACAAAAACCGGUUAAUUAAAUCACCAGUUAUUCAGUGGCAGCUCAUUGUAUAUUUGAGGAUAUAACAUCAAAUAAACUAAAUAACAACAGUAUUUCUAUAGCAUGAGCAGUGCACAAACAACGAUGAACAUAUUACAUCUUGAACGUGGUCGGUCGUCCAUAAGAAAAACAACCACCGACGAAAUCACUUUGUAAAUCUAGCUAGAGGCGCCUCUCCUGAAUAAUAUUAAUUUGAAGUCCAAUUACAGCUUGUAGAAUUUCAAGACCAUUUUCAAAGUUAUUUGUUAGAGUUAUGGCUAUAGGUUAGCUGGACAAUGUUCCGUACAAUGAGAGUGUAUUUAAUAAAAUUGGUGAACCUAGAGGUCUAUUAAGAUCACUCAAAGAAAAAAGAUGGAAACUACUUGGACAUACUUUAAAACACGAAUACACCACAACACUUUAAAAUGCAAAGGAUAUCCAAAUACAACAAUAAUCGAUAAGUUAUUAAAAAUGCCGGACUGAAAAUCUACAGGGAACUGAAGAGAAUGACCUUAAUAGGGAAGAGUACAGAAGUAGAAUGUUUUAAACAAACUAGAAUUAAAUAGAAAUAUAAUUAAAAUUUUAAUAAAAAUUGUAGAUACAUAAGAUCUUU